AUGCAGCUCCAUCAGUCACCAUGUAUUUGUUACGGUUUAGUUUUGGAAGGGAAGCGUUCUUCUGAUCUUUGAGAAAGCAUGCACUCUCUUCCUCGAGGUCAAAGAAUUUAACUUUCAAACUACAGCUUGGAACUUCAGUGCAGAUAGCUUUGAGAGACGAAACAAAGUUAAAUGUAAGGGGAUCUGUGUCUCUUGAGAAACUUAUGAGGAGUCGUACUUUAAUACUUCGUAAAAC
rnacentral:lncRNA from 1 species